CAACUCUGAAAUCCGAUUUUAGUUGAACUGUUUCCUCCAACUAAAAAAAAGAAGGUUGAGAGGAGGUGGCGCAGGCUCGCAGGAGUACUCUGUGCUGAGGCGGCGACAUGCCUUCUACUUGAUGUAUUGAAAGGAUUUCGCGACGAUUAAGUGCGUCGGGUUUUGUGAGCUGUACCCACGCCAGUGUUGUGGUGUUUGUGUAGAGAGUAGACGGAGGCAUAACACACCACCAGUUUUCAAGUUUGCCUUGGAGCUCUCUGCUUGAAAGUCAGGAUGGUCUUGGUCGAGCUCCUGUUCUCCAUCGUUGCCACACCGGCGUUUGCUGUCACAGCCGCCGUCGCCCUUGCAGCAUGGUUUGUGUUGUUUCGGCGACCGACCACCGCGGCAGGUAACACACCUGCUCAUGCAUCGCGUGACAGUACACUCGCCAGCAAGUCGCCGGGAAAUGUCGAGACGCUGAGAGCGUCAGUUGACGGUGACGGCCUUGCUACUCAAGACAGGAUCAAGAUCUAUUUUGGCACGCAAACGGGCAAUUCAAAGUACUUUGCCAAUGAGCUAUGUCAACGCUUGACCAGCGCAGGCAUGGCUAGUACAGUGUUUGACUUGGACGGCUACGACCCUGAAGUUGGACUCACUACAGAGGUACUGUAAACACACGUUGU